rnacentral:rRNA from 1 species
AUUGAACGCUGGCGGCAGGCCUAACACAUGCAAGUCGAGCGGAUGAAGGGAGCUUGCUCCUGGAUUCAGCGGCGGACGGGUGAGUAAUGCCUAGGAAUCUGCCUGGUAGUGGGGGAUAACGUCCGGAAACGGGCGCUAAUACCGCAUACGUCCUGAGUGAGAAAGUGGGGGAUCUUCGGACCUCACGCUAUCAGAUGAGCCUAGGUUGGAUUAGCUAGUUGGUUGGGUAAAGGCCUACCAAGGCGACGAUCCGUAACUGGUCUGAGAGGAUGAUCAGUCACACUGGAACUGAGACACGGUCCAGACUCCUACGGGAGGCAGCAGUGGGGAAUAUUGGACAAUGGGCGAAAGCCUGAUCCAGCCAUGCCGCGUGUGUGAAGAAGGUCUUCGGAUUGUAAAGCACUUUAAGUUGGGAGGAAGGGCAGUAAGUUAAUCCCUUGCUGUUUUGACGUUACCAACAGAAUAAGCACCGGCUAACUUCGUG